UAGCCUACACAGAUGUGACCCUU
rnacentral:piRNA from 1 species